rnacentral:misc_RNA from 1 species
GAUGAAGAACGUAGCGAAAUGCGAUAAGUAGUGUGAAUUGCAGAAUUCAGUGAAUCAUCGAAUCUUUGAACGCACAUUGCGCCCGCCAGUAUUCUGGCGGGCAUGCCUGUUCGAGCGUCAUUUCCACCAUCAGGCCCCCGGGCCUGUGUUGGGGACCUGCGGCUGCCCGCAGGCCCCGAAAUUCAAUGGCGGUCGCGCCGUAGCAACCGAGCGUAGUAACUAAAACGUCUCGCUCUGGCUCGCUGGGCGCGCUCCGGCCGUAAAACACCCCCCCUUUUCGCAAAGGUUGACCUCGGAUCAGGUAGGAAUACCCGCUGAACUUAAGCAUAUCAAUAAGCGGAGGA